UGAAGAGUAUGGGCUGCAACAUGGCCGAAUAACUCUUGUUUUGAGCAUCUCUUUUACAAUCCUUUCUAUUUCAUCCUUCUGGAGAUGUGGAUACUGAUAUGGCUAAGCAUUUGUUGGAGAUUUGCCUAGAAGAAUUGUUAUACAAUGAUCAUGCCGACGGGUAAGAGGUAGGUUGCGCGGUUCGUCAAAUAUAUCUAAAAAUUCAGCAAGCAAAGGA
rnacentral:lncRNA from 1 species